rnacentral:tRNA from 1 species
GGAGAGGUGUCUGAGUGGUUUAAGGAGCUGGUCUUGAAAACCAGAGAGGCCGCAAGGUCUCCGUGGGUUCGAAUCCCACCCUCUCCGCCA